GGCAAACUUCUUAGGGGUUGUAGCUUCUGUUAAAGGAGUGAAGGGAUUUGAUCCUGAGGCGGCCAAAAAGAGGUUCUUUGAGAUAUAUCUGGAGAAGUAUGCAAAACCAAAUUCAGGAAUAGGAUUUCCAGGAGCCCUUGUACUGAUUAAUCAGUUUGCAGACCAUGAUGGAACAGGAUCCGAAGUCCUUCUUCAACUUCCACUAGCUGUCAUUUGUGCGAAGGAUGGUCAAAUUUAUAUUGCAG